rnacentral:rRNA from 1 species
UGCAAGUCGAGCGGUAGCACAGAGAGCUUGCUCUCGGGUGACGAGCGGCGGACGGGUGAGUAAUGUCUGGGAAACUGCCUGAUGGAGGGGGAUAACUACUGGAAACGGUAGCUAAUACCGCAUAACGUCGCAAGACCAAAGUGGGGGACCUUCGGGCCUCAUGCCAUCAGAUGUGCCCAGAUGGGAUUAGCUAGUAGGUGGGGUAACGGCUCACCUAGGCGACGAUCCCUAGCUGGUCUGAGAGGAUGACCAGCCACACUGGAACUGAGACACGGUCCAGACUCCUACGGGAGGCAGCAGUGGGGAAUAUUGCACAAUGGGCGCAAGCCUGAUGCAGCCAUGCCGCGUGUGUGAAGAAGGCCUUCGGGUUGUAAAGCACUUUCAGCGGGGAGGAAGGCGUUAAGGUUAAUAACCUUGGCGAUUGACGUUACCCGCAGAAGAAGCACCGGCUAACUCCGUGCCAGCAGCCGCGGUAAUACGGAGGGUGCAAGCGUUAAUCGGAAUUACUGGGCGUAAAGCGCACGCAGGCGGUCUGUCAAGUCGGAUGUGAAAUCCCCGGGCUCAACCUGGGAACUGCAUUCGAAACUGGCAGGCUAGAGUCUUGUAGAGGGGGGUAGAAUUCCAGGUGUAGCGGUGAAAUGCGUAGAGAUCUGGAGGAAUACCGGUGGCGAAGGCGGCCCCCUGGACAAAGACUGACGCUCAGGUGCGAAAGCGUGGGGAGCAAACAGGAUUAGAUACCCUGGUAGUCCACGCCGUAAACGAUGUCGAUUUGGAGGUUGUGCCCUUGAGGCGUGGCUUCCGGAGCUAACGCGUUAAAUCGACCGCCUGGGGAGUACGGCCGCAAGGUUAAAACUCAAAUGAAUUGACGGGGGCCCGCACAAGCGGUGGAGCAUGUGGUUUAAUUCGAUGCAACGCGAAGAACCUUACCUGGUCUUGACAUCCACAGAACUUUCCAGAGAUGGAUUGGUGCCUUCGGGAACUGUGAGACAGGUGCUGCAUGGCUGUCGUCAGCUCGUGUUGUGAAAUGUUGGGUUAAGUCCCGCAACGAGCGCAACCCUUAUCCUUUGUUGCCAGCGGUUAGGCCGGGAACUCAAAGGAGACUGCCAGUGAUAAACUGGAGGAAGGUGGGGAUGACGUCAAGUCAUCAUGGCCCUUACGACCAGGGCUACACACGUGCUACAAUGGCAUAUACAAAGAGAAGCGACCUCGCGAGAGCAAGCGGACCUCAUAAAGUAUGUCGUAGUCCGGAUUGGAGUCUGCAACUCGACUCCAUGAAGUCGGAAUCGCUAGUAAUCGUAGAUCAGAAUGCUACGGUGAAUACGUUCCCGGGCCUUGUACACACCGCCCGUCACACCAUGGGAGUGGGUUGCAAAAGAAGUAGGUAGCUUAACCUUCGGGAGGGCGCU